AAGUCGUAACAAGGUAACCGUAGGUGAACCUGCGGUUGGAUCAUUAACAAUUUUAGCAGGAGCUUGUCUUUGGAUGAGCACCUGUAAAAAAUCAAUCACCUCUUGUGCACUGUAUGUCUCUGGCGGCUGGGGCAAUGCAGCCUGACUUGAAAAGCCAGAUGCAUUGCUCUGUCAGCUUGGUUCUCUUCUGAACCAGGCCGUGGACAACCCGCCAACCACUUUGCUUAACUCACUGUUUUAAUCCUGUCUAACAAAAUUACUUUGUAUUAAAAUACAAUAAAACUUUUGGCAACGGAUCUCUUGGCUCUCA
rnacentral:misc_RNA from 1 species